AUCCUGCUCUGAAAAGGAAGAUCUAGGUAGGAGACAGAAGCGGGAGCACCCUGAAUAGCAUGGAGGGACUAAGGGCUCCUCAGAGACAGUGGCCCCCAGUAUAAUUUAUCUGGAGCCACCAUGGUCUUAUGGUAUCCUGCCUUAUCGCCUUUGCCCUGGCUGUACCCUAUGCUGAGAAUGCCGUUCCCUCAGCUCUUCUUGGGGCUGGCUCCUCAUGGUCUAGGGGCAGCUCAUCAGAAAGGCCUUCCAAGACCAUCCCUCUAAAGCAGCAGCAUCCCUCUUCAUGGUCACUCGGAUCUUCUCCAUGGUCUUCUCUCUCUCCAUGAAAGGAUCAUCUUUGCAUUUUAAGAAAAUGUUAUUUAAAACUCAUUGUCAGAUGCAGAGGCAAAGAGGAGGAAGAGGAGUGGCCCAAUGGCAUUGGUGAUCAUGGAAGUCAACUGCACAGAAGCAACAGUCAAAGUUAUAGAAAUUGGAAUGACCACCUAAAACAAGAGGACCAGACAGUGAGAGAAGGGGUUGGAGGACAGAACCUUGAGGAUUAUCCGUCAUUUAGACAGAGGAAAGGGACUAUCAUUAUUCAGCAACUAUUAUUUGCCAGGCAUUAUGCUAAGGGAUGAAUUUUCUUGUUCAAGUCUCAAACAGCCCUGUAGGUAAGAAAGUGUAACCUUUUCAGACAUAAAACUGAAGCUCAGAAGAGUUAGGAUUGAACCCAAAUCUGCUCAAUUCUGAAACCCUUGUCAUUCCCACCACAAGAGGAGUGAGACGAAAAAGAAGUACUUCGGGGCAGUGGCAAGGAAGCUGGUAGAGGAGAGAGUGUGAGAAGGAAGCAAGCAGUGGCCAAUGGUUAGACACUUGGCAGAGCCAGAGAUGGAAGGCUCAAAUGCCCAUGGGGGCUGAGCAGGAAAGCAAGUGAGUGGAGGUGUUUACAGUAUAAAACUCAUGGGUGUAGUUUUUACUUAUAUAGAUUAAUGUACGCUUUCGUUUAAAAAAUGUACAGCUUCCUUGGUCUAGCUGUCAUUUUUCUGGGUACAAGAACCAUGUCUUGACUAUAAGGAAUACGACUGUGUAUGUGCAAUGGAUUCUCAGUGUCAGUGCUGGGGACUAGUGGGGACUGUGGCAAAUUGGAGAACUAAUCAAACACUCAGCUCCAGCCCAUGAUGCCAGCUGGAAAUGUGGACCCAGGAUUCUCACAUCUGAUUUUCCAAGAGAAGCCAAAAGGCUAGAAUUUUGCGUCAACUCAAUUUCUGAAUGCUGUCAAUGAAUUUAUUAUUAUUUUUCUAGAAUAAUGUGCAGCCCUCAAGACAUUUCUGUGAGUCAGAUGUGGGACUAUGUUUGAUCUAGAAUUCAUGAGGUUGGUGAGAAUAAUAAACAAUGAAACUAAAAUAAUGAUGAUGAUGACGAACACCACCCCCGUACAUGGUUGUAUAUUCUUCAUUGUGGGU